AUUGAACGCUGGCGGCAGGCUUAACACAUGCAAGUCGAGCGAGCGGCGGACGGGUGAGUAAUGUCUGGGAAACUGCCUGAUGGAGGGGGAUAACUACUGGAAACGGUAGCCAAUACCGCAUACCAUCAGAUGUGCCCGGAUGGGAUUAGCUAGUAGGUUGGGUAAUGGCUCACCUAGGCGACGAUCCCUAGCUGGUCUGAGAGGAUGACCAGACAAGGUGGAGCUGAGACACGGUCAAGACUACUACGGGAGGCAGCAGUGGGGAAUAUUGAAAAAUGGGGGCAAGCCGGAUGAAGCCAUGCCGCGUGUGUGAAGAAGGCAUUCGGGUUGUAAAGCACUGUCAGCGAGGAGGCGUUACGCGCAGAAGAAGCACCGGCUAACGCCGUGCCAGCAGCCGCGGUAAUAC
rnacentral:rRNA from 1 species